rnacentral:rRNA from 1 species
CCUACGGGGGGCAGCAGUGGGGAAUAUUGCACAAUGGGCGAAAGCCUGAUGCAGCGACGCCGCGUGAGGGAUGACGGCCUUCGGGUUGUAAACCUCUUUCAGCAGGGAAGCGGUACCUGCAGAAGAAGCGCCGGCUAACUACGUGCCAGCAGCCGCGGUAAUACGUAGGGCGCAAGCGUUGUCCGGAAUUAUUGGGCGUAAAGAGCUCGUAGGCGGCUUGUCACGUCGGAUGUGAAAGCCCGAGGCUUAACCUCGGGUCUGCAUUCGAUACGGGCUAGCUAGAGUGUGGUAGGGGAGAUCGGAAUUCCUGGUGUAGCGGUGAAAUGCGCAGAUAUCAGGAGGAACACCGGUGGCGAAGGCGGAUCUCUGGGCCAUACUGACGCUGAGGAGCGAAAGCGUGGGGAGCGAACAGGAUUAGAUACCCUUGUAGUC